AUUGAACGCUGGCGGCAGGCCUAACACAUGCAAGUCGAAUGGUAACAGGAAACAGCUUGCUGUUUCGCUGACGAGUGGCGGACGGGUGAGUAAUGUCUGGGAAACUGCCUGAUGGAGGGGGAUAACUACUGGAAACGGUAGCUAAUACCGCAUAACGUCGCAAGCCCAAAGAGGGGGACCUUCGGGCCUCUUGCCAUCAGAUGUGCCCAGAUGGGAUUAGCUAGUAGGUGGGGUAACGGCUCACCUAGGCGACGAUCCCUAGCUGGUCUGAGAGGAUGACCAGCCACACUGGAACUGAGACACGGUCCAGACCCCUACGGGAGGCAGCAGUGGGGAAUAUUGCACAAUGGGCGCAAGCCUGAUGCAGCCAUGCCGCGUGUAUGAAGAAGGCCUUCGGGUUGUAAAGUACUUUCAGCGGGGAGGAAGGGAGUAAAGUUAAUACCUUUGCUCAUUGACGUUACCCGCAGAAGAAGCACCGGCUAACUCCGUG
rnacentral:rRNA from 1 species